AGAAUUUAGCAGAGAUGCUUUCGUGCCUUCGGGAACUCUGAGACAGGUGCUGCAUGGCUGUCGUCAGCUCGUGUUGUGAAAUGUUGGGUUAAGUCCCGCAACGAGCGCAACCCUUAUCCUUUGUUGCCAGCACGUAAUGGUGGGAACUCAAAGGAGACUGCCGGUGAUAAACCGGAGGAAGGUGGGGAUGACGUCAAGUCAUCAUGGCCCUUACGAGUAGGGCUACACACGUGCUACAAUGGCGCAUACAAAGAGAAGCGACCUCGCGAGAGCAAGCGGACCUCAUAAAGUGCGUCGUAGUCCGGAUUGGAGUCUGCAACUCGACUCCAUGAAGUCGGAAUCGCUAGUAAUCGUAAAUCAGAAUGUUACGGUGAAUACGUUCCCGGGCCUUGUACACACCGCCCGUCACACCAUGGGAGUGGGCUGCAAAAGAAGUAGAUAGCUUAACCUUCGGGAGGGCGUUUACCACUUUGUGAUUCAUGACUGAGGUGAAGUCGUAACAAGGUAGGCGUAGUGCU
rnacentral:rRNA from 1 species